rnacentral:rRNA from 1 species
GGAUCAUUGUCGAAAUCGAACGGAAGAACGACCCGCGAAUCGUCAUUGCGUAGUAGACAGAGCCCGUGAGCACCUAACGCUCAUGGGUCUCGCGUCGCGUCGGCGCGGGUGUACUCGAGACCCGCGUCGUACCGGCGGACAAACAACGUCAGCACGGAUCGUGCCAAGGAGCUGCAUGGAGAGAAUCGUCGUCCCACGCCCUCGAUAGUCCUCGACGCGGGACGGGGGAUGUACGCAAUCUCUACUCAAGUCUAAACGACUCUCGGCAACGGAUAUCUCGGCUCUUGCAUCGAUGAARAACGUAGCGAAAUGCGAUWACUUGGUGUGAAUUGCAGAAUCCCGUGAACCAUCAAUUCUUUGAACGCAAGUUGCGCCCGAAGCCAUUCGGCCGAGGGCACGCCUGCCUGGGCGUCGUGAAUCCCCUUGCCCCUAGGCACCCGCAUGAGCAUUGGCGGGGAUAUAUGCUCGGGCGCAGAAUAUGGCCUCCCGUGGGAUCGGCAUGCGCGGCAUGUCGAGGUGCGGUUGGCCGAAAAUCGAGCAUGGCGGUGACGGGCACCACGGCGUUCGGUGGAUCGAACGAGAUUGGCUGCGUCGUGGGCUCGGCAUGCGGCGGGCUCCGGACUUUGAAUAUCCCCGAGUGCGAUCCCAGGUCAGGCGGGGCUACCCGCUGAGUUUAAGCAUAUCAAUAAGCGGAGGAAAAGAAACUAACGAGGAUUCCCUUAGUAGCGGC